rnacentral:rRNA from 1 species
UACGUAGGGUGCAAGCGUUGUCCGGAUUUAUUGGGCGUAAAGAGCUCGUAGGCGGUCUGUUGCGUCGGCUGUGAAAACCCGGGGCUCAACUCCGGGCCUGCAGCCGAUACGGGCAGACUAGAGUUCGGCAGGGGAGACUGGAAUUCCUGGUGUAGCGGUGGAAUGCGCAGAUAUCAGGAAGAACACCCGUGGCGAAGGCGGCUCUCUGGAACGCAACUGACGCUGAGACGCGAAAGCGUGGGGAGCAAACAGG